CCGUUGCGGCUCUUUUUCUGAGUCUGAACUUCUUCGUGAUAAAGACAGCCGAGCGGGGGAAAUUAAAGAAACAACUACGACGAAAUGGCUCCAGGGUAAACUAUUAAGCGCCAAAGGCAACAGGCAAGAGACUGCGUGUGGAACGAUCCCAUUUGCAUAAAUGGAAACCUAAGAAAUUUAUUUACAGUACAAGUUCCUAGAUGUGGACCUGCUGGGUCAGAGAGCAUUGUCCAGCUUUAAUUUUCAGAGAUAUUGCCAAAGUGCUCUGCAAAGAGAUCGCCCGAAACUGCCCUCUCCCAGCAGAAUACAGUUACUGUAUAAAUCGAGGGAAGACCGCACUUUGCUUUGCUUGGAACUUUAUCCGCUCCUUCACCAUUUUGGACGUCACGACGCUGAUGGCAAGGCAGCUCUUGAUAUUCGAGUGCCCAGUACAGCACAUCUCAAUCGCAUCUCGAUCGAUCGUUCAGCAUCUCAGCAGCCCCAUUCAUGGCAGUUCCACAACUCGGUCGCUCACUAGGUGACUUGGUUGCAUCUUCCGGUGUAAUCAUGCCUGAGUAUUUACACAUCGAGAGAAACACUACACAUUAGAAACUACUUUCACUUCUCGUUUACAUUAUAAUUGAGGAGUUACAUUGAUCUAUUCUUUAAUUUGGAUUUCGUUGGUGGAGAGCCAAGGGGGUAUCAGAAAUGUUUAUUUAUAGGGGCCCCCGGGGUGGCUC